GGCCACGUAGCCAAGUAGUAAGGCAAGUGUCUGCAAAACACUCAUGCACCGGUGCAAAUCCGGUCGUGGCCUCCA
rnacentral:tRNA from 1 species